rnacentral:lncRNA from 1 species
UCUUCAUCGACUAUAUGAGAGAUUUAUGGUUCAUUGACUCUUCAUAAGGAAUGCAAUAAACAACAUAUUUUAUCAAUUUUUAUUUGAGAUAGAGAGGUACUAUGGGAUUGGUGUGCUAUUAGAGAUUCUUAGAAGUAUUAUAAAUAGACUGCCAAUGAAAGAAGAGCACAAGUUGUUCCUUGUACGAGCACUUAUCCUACUUCAGAAGGCCAAAUGUGUUACAUCAUAUCAUCAGCAGUUGUCCUAUUAUAUAAUGCGAUUUGUUGAGAAAGAUUACAGGUUGACAGAUGCUGUCAUUCGGGGGAUGUUGAAAUACUGGCCAGUUACAAAUUGUGGUAAGGAGGUUUUCUUCUUAGGAGAACUAGAAGAAAUAUUGGAGGUUGCAUAGUCUGCAGAACUCCAACGCUGCAUGGUUCCUCUGUUUAGAUAAAUUGGACGAUGCUUAAACAGCUCGCAUUUCCAGGUUUGAGAUUCUUAUUGCUUGGUACCAUAUGGUUAUAUUUGUUGCUUUAAGUCAUGAAUUCGUACAAUGUAAAUUUCCAUAAAAUCAUUGUCCUUCUGGAUUAAUAAUGUAUAACUUCAUAAAUCAAUCUCCAUGUUGGCUAAUGAGUAUUUCAUUAAAUUCCACAUAAUUUUCUCAGCUUCUUUGAUUGGUGAUAUAAAAAGUUAUACAUUGAGACACUGCAAAAAUCUGAAAUAAGUUAUUAAUUUUGUUUUAUAAGAAAUCUGUGACAUGCCUAAAUUGAGACUUUUUCUGUUGUCAAUCCACAAUCAUAGAACGGAAUCUCGUUCUGAGCAUCAUAUCCGUGGACCCGCCUAACUUGAUUAAAAAAAAGACCAUCGUCUCUGCUUUCCCCCACCUCACUUUAUUUCUAGAAAAGGUGAUGUUCCUCCUUUAUUUUUUUUGGUAAUCAAGAGAAAAUAUUAUUGGUAUUUGCACUUUUCAGAUUUAGUGCACUGGCGUCUCUUUCAGUUUUAACUUUUAAGAAUUUGCCUUGCUGAAUUGUGAUUAUACUGAUAGUGAUAAGCAAAUUGUCUAUAAUGUAUGUAAUUUAUUGGUAAUCCUUCCAGCUAACAUGUGAAUCCCUUUAAUGCGUAAUUUCAUCUGUCAGUUGCUCACAAAUGAAGUAAAAGGUAAAAAAGCUAUAUCAAUUAAUUCACAAAAUGACCUGGAUUAUAAUUUCUUUUUUGAUAAGUAAUCAAGUAAUGCAUGAGAGGUGUAUUAUCAAAUUAAACAAGAAAAAAAAGACAUAAAAUUUGGCAGCCCUUCUAUGUGAUUAGUAGUUGCAGCAUUAAACCAAGUAUAUAAAGUCAUAAAACAAUUCUUUAAUUUGCUCUAUUGUUCUUGUUUGGUCUUCGAAACAUCGGCUAUUCCUUUCUCUCCAUACACACCAUACAAUACAUCCUGGAAUAAGAUUCCACGCAAGCCUACUAUCAUUAUCUUGAAAUUUUCUCUUCAAUGCCCGCAACACGUUUUCUAUGCGCCUAGGCAACACCCAAUCCAAAUGUUGGGAAGCUAGAAUAUAGUUCCACAACCACCGAACACCGUCACAAUGGAGAAACAAAUGGUCAAUUGUUUCACCAUUUCUCUUGUACAUAAAACACCAUCGGUAAUAUAAAAACUUUUUUUUUUUUAAGAUUAUCCACUGUUAACGCUUGCCUCCUCACAAUCGUCCAUAACAAGAAAGCCACAUGUGGAGACAGUUUACAUUGCCACACCAUCUUUUAGGGAAAUGAACUCUCCGUCGAUCCCAAUAUGGAUCUAAAAUAAGUGCGAAUUGAAAAAAUACCAUCUCGUGCCAAUUUCCACCUGCUCCGAUCACCCUCUUCUACUUGAAUAUGCGCCUUGUAAAAGGAGGUUAAAAACAAUGCAUAAUCAUCCAAUUCCUAAUCCUGCAAACCCCUCUCAAAGGCAAUAUUCCAACUGUAACUUCCAUUAUGUAUGGCUAGUGCAUUAUUUACCACAGCAGAAGGCUCCAAAGCAAUGCGAUGCAAAGAAGGAAAUUGUGCCUUUAGCGGAUGAUCUCCUCAUCAACAAUCAUCCCAAAAUCUAAUACGAUUGCCAUUCUCCACCACAUAAGUCAAUUUCUCUCGAAAGUCAUUCCAUCCUCGUCGGAUAUACUUCCACAAACUCAACCCAUAAGAUUUACAACCAUCGAUCGAGCACCAACCCCCUCUGUCAUACCAUACUUCGCUCCUAUGAUUUUAUCUCCAAAAACUCUCACUCUCUACUCCAAAUCACCACAACCACUUGCCCAAUAAAGUCUUAUUAAAUAGAACAAGGCUCCUUAAUCCAAGGCCCCAUCCUUACAGGAGAACCAACUACACUCCAAUUAACCAAAUGAAAUUUCUUCUCUCCCUCUAGCCCUGCCCAAAGAAAUUCCCUUUGAAUCUUCUCUAAUCUAUUUGUCACUGUAACAUGAAUAAGAAAUAGUGACAAGAAAUAAGUUGGGAUUAGACAAAGUAGAUUCAAUCAGAGUAAGGUGGCCUCCCUUCGAAAGGUACAUACGCUUCCACCCCCACUAACCUCUUCUCCGCCCUUUCAACAAUUCCAUUCUAAAUAUAUUUACUUUAAACCUUGCCCCUAAAGGGAGCCCAAGAUAUGACAUGGGCAACUGUGCAACCCUACAACUCAAUAUAUCGGCCAACUCAUCUACCUUAGCAACCUCUCCCAUUGGAAUGGCCGCAGAUUUCCUUAAAUUAAUCUUCAAUCCUGAUACCGCUUCAAAGCAUAGAAGUAGUCGACACAAGUUUCUAAAUUGCUCAUUAUCUGCAUCACAAAGGAUAAGUAUAUCAUCUGCGAAUAACAAAUAAGAAACCUGUAAGUGUCCAACCGUAAAGCCUCUUAUCAAUCCUACUUCCACAGCUUUGUCAAGCAUCAUGCUAAUUGCCUCCAUAAUAAUCACAAACAGCAACGAAGACAAGGGAUCCCCUUGCCUCAAACCUCUACUGUUUUGAAAAUAACCCUCCGGAUUGUCGUUGACCAAAACUGAGAAUGAAAUGGUAGAGAUACAAAAUUGAAUCCAUUUAUACCACUUUUUCCCAAAGUCACAUCACCUGAGCAUGUACAAAAGGAACCCCCAGUCCACAUGAUCAUAAGCCCUCUGAAUAUCGAGUUUACAUAACAUUCUUGGCAUCCCCAAAUGCAAUCUAGAAUCAACACAUUCAUUCGCUAUAAGCAUAGAAUUCAAAAUCUGUCUCCCUUUCACAAAAGCAUUCUGACUCUUAGUGACCAUUUUUCCAGCACCUUCUUCAAUCUAUUCAUCAGGAUCUUCGUGACAAUCUUGUACACCCCCAUUAACUAAGCUAAUAGGGCGAAAAUUCUUAAUGUCAACUGCUCCUAGUUUCUUUGAAAUCAGCACAAUAAAUGUAGCAUUUGAACUUCUUAGGAACAUGCUGUACUAAAAAAAAAAUAAGAACAUAUAUAAUGUCUGAUCCCACCACCUCUCAACAAACCUUAUAAAAUGCGAAUGAUAAGCCAUCUGGUCCUGGUGCCUUAUCAUCAUUCAUAAUGAAAAUCACAUCCUUGAUUUCAUCUUCUGUAAAUGGUCUCUCUAACCAACUAGCAUCCUCAUCCAUGAUAGAAAAGUCCAGUCCAUCCACCUUUGGUCUCCAGUCAAAUUAUUCCCGAUAGAGAUUUUGAUAAAAUCUCACCAUCUGAUUCCCAAUAUCCUACGAAUCCUCAUAAGUAAUCCCAUCAACCCCCAACAAGGUGUUAUAGUUGUUGCGUUUGUUAGAAUUAGUGACUCUAUGGAAAAAUUUGGUGCAUUUGUCCCCCUCCUUCAACCAUGUAACCCUAGAUUUUUGGCGCCGGGCAAUCUCUUCCAUCUCCACCAGUCUCUUUGACUCUUCCCUUCACACUCCACGUCUCUCCCUCUCCUCCCCAUCCAAUCCUCGACCCACCUCUCGCCUAUCCAGUUCUUCUAUUUCUAGAAUACAUUGAUUUUUACGCCAAUUAAUGUCACCCACCAGCUCCUCAUUCCACCUUUUUAGAUCCCUAUUCAAAGCUUUUAAUUUCUGAUCCAAUACAUAACUGGGAGACCCUCCGAAUUCAUAAGAUGCCCACGAAUCUCGUACUCGCUUCCUAAAGCCAUCUACUUUAAGCCACAUCUUUUCAAAUCUAAAAGGCCUUCUACCACUAUACAUCACAUUCCCCGAUAACAAAAUAGGGAAAUGAUCAUAAUACCCUCCUCAAUCUCCUCUGAGUGACCUCUGGAUAUUUGACCUCCCACUCCUCACUAAUCAGAAAUCGAUCUAUUCGAGAUAAAACAGGUUGAUACUGAUUAGAUGACCAAGUCUCCUCCAAUCAAAGGCAUGCUUACCAACAUAUUAUCCCUGAUAAAAUCUAAUAAAUCCUCCAUUGCCCUGUUAAUCUCCUACCACUAGACAUAUCAGUGGGAAAUCGAGCCACAUUGAAAUCUCCCUCAAUACACGUUGGAAGGUCCCAUCAAGAAAUCAUACCAGCCAACUCAUCCCACAAUCCACAUCUACUCUCAUCAGUAUUAGCCCAUAAACUUCUAUGAACAUCCAACGAAAACUAUUUUUCAGUAUUUCUGAACAAAAGAGAUAGAGAAAAUAGCCCUUCACUGAUCUCUUCCAUAUUAAAAAUCCUCAUAUCCCACAUGACUAACAAACCUCCUGAAGACCCAGAUGACCCAACAUAUUGAUGCCUGACAUGCUGUCCCUCCUAUAGACUACUCACAAUAGCCUUGAAACAACCUCCAACUUUGUUUCUUGAAAGCAUACAAGGUCAGCCCUCCAACCCCGUAACAGAUUUUGAAUACCUAAUCUUGUUCCAGCUUCGUUGAGCCCCCUCACUUUCAAGCUAAUUAUUUUUGGGAUCAUCUUAACACUCCAUUAUCCUUCUCCAUCAAUCCUCUCCUUGAAUUGCCACCCUUAACGUCAUAAUUGACUGAGCAUUUGAACCGCUUGAGUUCACGGUCACCUUUUUUUCUUGUCUUCCCACCUGGUGUACCCAUCACCUGUCCCGUACUAGCCUCCAAUUCCUCAAAUAAUUGCAAUAGCCUAGUUUCACAUCCUUCACAAGAGACACCCACCAUCUUGCUAAAAUCCAGAAUUUUUUGAAUAACCCAGCUAGACGGCGGAGGUCUAAUGUCAAGCGCACUAACUCCCACUAUUUCCCCAGCAUGGGCACAGUGGCACAGUACCAUUCAUUGUUCAUUCAAUCCAGUGUCGCCUGCCAUUGCUGACAUGCUUAUCAAGUAAAUUUGAUUUAAUAACUGUCCAUUAAUUGUAUGCUUUACUUGAGAAACUUAGUGAUAUGACAGAUUUCAUGAAGUGUUCAGUUCGCUACGUCUUAUAUUGGUACAAGGAUUAUGCUCCAAAGCUUAUGUUUUUAACAAAUGCUUCCUCCUAAAAAUUGCUUAUAAAUAAUGUAUGCACCACCAUGCAGUUUUUUUCUUUCAAGAUGCUGAAUAUGAAACAUGAUUCAAAUUGAUAUGAUAUAGUGUGGUGUAUGUGGAAGUUCAUUGUUCUUUUAUUUUUUGGCCUUUUACUUCUCAAAUUGGUUAGUGAAUAUUGGAAGUGCCUUUGAGAACAUGUGCAAAUUUUUUUUGGCCGUGCAGAUCAUGCUUUCGAGUUUUUAUUCCUUUCAUCAUGAUUUGUCUUUAGCUUUGAAAAUUUUUGCUCAUGCUAUGUGACAGGUGGCGGAAAGGGCUCUUUUCUGAUGGAACAAUGAGCACAUUGAGAACCUGAUUGCAGAGAACCGACAUGUUAUCCUACCAAUAAUAUUUGACUCAUUAGAAGAGAUAUACGAGGUCAUUGGAAUCAGGCAAUCCUCGGUCUGAGCUCCAAUGUCCGAAAAAUGUUCCUGGAGAUGUACGCUAAACUGUUUGAGAAGUGUCAGAGACAGUAUGAGGAAAUGAAAGCUGGGGCAGGAGAACAAGAAGAACAUCGUGAGUUAGCACUAUGGAAGAGACUAGAAGAAGUUGCUACUCAGAUCUAGUGCUCUCUGCCUCUCUGGUGAAUUAUGAAGCCAAGUUCUCCCUUCCUCAUCAGAUGUUCUCUCUCCUUGAGAAGAUAUUGAGCUCCUAUCAAAGAAAUUGGGGUCACAACUUUUUGGGGUUGGUGGAGCUAUGUUGGCCUAAUGCUUGAGGCCUCUCUUUUGAUCUAUUGGCUGCUUUUUGUCGUCCGAAAAGGGAAGUAUGACUUAUCCAAAGCAAAGUUGGAAAGGGAGCUAAAAAUCCCAGGUAAUGGAGAUAUUGAUUUACUGUUCAUUGUUUUUUCUUCUCUCUUGACGUGGGUGUAUCUUCCAUCUUUUCGAUUCUUGGUGCUCUUAAUAAUGAUAUCAGUAACUUUAAUCAAGAUAAGUUUCAUGAUCAAGUUACUUCAAGUUCUCUGUGUGAAUGUCCAUUUCACUCUUAUUAAAAGAAAGAGCCGUGAUGCUACCAAAAAUCGUACCUGUAGAUUUCCCGAGCUUGAUGACUGGUGAGGAGCACGA